ensembl:lncRNA
GAUCUAUUUCCAAAGCCAGCCGACGUUUCUGACACCUCCUUCCCUGUUCCUUAAGUUACCCAAAUCUUUUCUAGAAAAUUCUCCAGGCACCAGUAUCCAUCCUAAGAGCUCAGGCCAAAACUUCUCUUCUAUGCAACACUCCUGCCAUCUUGGACAUUUUUCCCCCUCAAAGGUCUUCCUCUCGCACAGCUGUUUGCAUGACAUUGUGGGUAAAUUUCUCAAGUUCUCCUUCUUAGCUCCUGGUUGCGGAACAUGAAACACUUUUAUGUCUCUCAUACUCACCAUCUUAGUGUAUUUCUUGUUAGUUUGCUCCUCACAUCUCUGGCUUUUAUUGUCGUUGUUGUUGUUGCCUUUUUAUUUUUUUAAUUUACUUUUAUUAGGGUAUCAUUGAUUUACAGUGUUGAGUCAAUUUCUGCUGUGCAGCAUAAUGACCCAGGCAUAUAGAUAUAUAUACAUUCUUUUUCUCAUAUUAUCUUCUAUCAUGGUCUAUCCCAAGAGACUGGACAUAGUUCCCUGUGCUGUACAGUAGGACCUCAUUGCUNNNNNNNNNNNNNNNNNUCUGUUCUCUGUGUCGGUGAGUCUGUUUCUGUUCUGUAGAUAGGUUCAUUGGUGCCAUAUUUUAGAUUCCACGUGUAAGUAAUAUCAUAUGGUAUUUUUCUUUCUCUCUCUGACUUACUUCGACUCUGGCAUUAUUCGCAUCAGUUUGCCCACUGAAAUUUGGUUACCUGGUAGGAUCCUUUGCUUUAGAUGACCAAUUUUGCCGUUCUACGCACCACUGUAUUUGACUUAAACUAUCUUACAUGUGCAAGAAAAAGAGGUUCACAGUUCGCCUGAGAGUUUGCAAGGGGAAACAAGUUAUGACAACAAGUACCCAAGUGAAGAAAAAUCAAGGGGUUGCAGAUUUAGACUUGUCAGUCCUAGGCAGGUUCCAAGGGGCAAAAGGACAAACAAACAAAAAAAAAAGAAUUGAGCUUUGCUAUGACUCCUGGACCCUCUUUCCCUCACUGUCUGGACUGUACCUGUGUUUUCUGAAUACGGUUGGCAAUCUGGAGGAAAGCAAUGGCCCGCGUGUGGGAAUACAUGCAUCAGUCAAAAGGGCUAUUGAACAGGUGUUCCUGAGGCAGGAAUCUGGAGAAAUUCAGAACGACAGUAUUUCUCAACAGUGACCAUUGACAUGAUUCUAUUUUCUUUAUUGUACUUACUCCUUAUUAUUCCAAGAAGGAACAUGCUUCAUAGUUAGCCUUUCCCUUUGAUUACAAUUUCUUUACUUAGAAAAAAAAAGUGCACUUGAAAAUAUGGCAGUUGCGAUAUAACAUCCUAAGCAUUUGAAAAUAUCCCAAAUUUCUAAGUGAAACUUACUUAUAAAAAGACAUUUGCAUGUUUUUUCUUGUCCACUUUCCUCUCCCAAGCUCAUUUCAUUUCCUUAGAUCUCUGGGCUGCACUGUUAGAGUCUCCGUCUCAAGUACAUUUAAAUGACAUUGGCACUUGGCUAGAAGCUCCUGCAGACGCUGCCUCCUGCAGACUCAGUGGCACUGUGAUCUCCGUGGGCUCACAGGGCAGGCAGGAGGGGGCUGCGAUCAUCCUGCUUAUCAUUAUUGAUGUGGCUUCGACGCCCUCAGCUGCGUUUCUGUCCAGUGCGAUUCUGGAUGCUAUUCAGAAAACACCUGCUGAAAUCCUUGCGAGAGGUCCGUGUGUGUGCCAAGGCCAGGUGAUUGGUGUCGCUCUUGAACAACGUGAAGGUCAACCUCUUGGCCCUCCGUUCGCUGUUAUUUUAAUGAAAGUCAGAAUUCUCUAUUGAGCAAAUGUUCGUACCAACCUAGCAUGGGCUGGCAUUUCUACUUUUUGCGUCGUUAUGUUCAAAAUAGUCUUUUCGCCAAAAUGGAAAAAGGGCGGAGAUCUUGCAGGGCAUUUAGAAUUGGAAAAUGGGGCCGAAAAGAAAUGAUCUGUGUUCUUUGAAAUAUCAGAGAGCUUAAAAUUAGUGUUCGAUCUCUCCUUUCAUCACUUCACCCUCCUCCUCAAAGGAAUCAUACCUCAGAAAUGACUUCCUUUCUCCACGAGCUUUUCUUCAUCUUCCCCAAAUCCAAGGAGCUCUCAACUGAUGUAAAAAGAUCACGUCCUGACAUCAGUGAGGGUGUUUCCACCUUAUCGUUUCGGUUAUUGCUUUCAAUACAGGUUUACAUUUUUAUCCACAAUGUAAAUAUAUGAGUUAUAAAUGAGAGACAAAAGCUCUAGAGGAAUUUGACACUGCGAGUCCACAGUAGAAAGUUACAAUACAUUAAAAGUUCAUUUUAGGAGUUCCUGUCGUGGCGCAGUGGUUAACGAAUCUGACUAGGAACCAUGAGGUUGUGGGUUCGAUCCCUGGUCUCACUCAGUGGGUUAAGGAUCCGGCAUUGCCAUGAGCUUCGGUGUAGGUCGCAGACCCGGCUCGGAUCCUGCGUUGCUGUGGCUCUGGCGUAGGCCGGCGGCUACAGCUCUGAUUCGACCCCUAGCCUGGGAACCUCCAUAUGCUGCCAGAGUGGCCCUAGAAAUGGCAAAAAGACAAAAAAAAAAAAA